UGGGGGAUAUUGGACAAUGGGGGGAACCCUGAUCCAGCGACGCCGCGUGAGUGAAGAAGUAUCUCGGUAUGUAAAGCUCUUUCAGCAGGGAAGAAAGAAAUGACGGUACCUGACCAAGAAGCCCCGGCUAACUACGUGCCAGCAGACGCGGUAAUACGUAGGGGGCAAGCGUUAUCCGGAAUCACUGGGUGUAAAGGGAGCGUAGACGGUUGUGCAAGUCUGGAGUGAAAGGCGGGGGCCCAACCCCCGGACUGCUCUGGAAACUGUGUAACUGGAGUGCAGGAGAGGCAGGCGGAAUUCCUGGUGUAGCGGUGAAAUGCGUAGAUAUCAGGAGGAACACCGGUGGCGAAGGCGGCCUGCUGGACUGUAACUGACGUUGAGGCUCGAAAGCGUGGGGAGCAAACAGG
rnacentral:rRNA from 1 species